rnacentral:rRNA from 1 species
ACAUGCAAGUCGAACGCAGUAGCAAUACUGAGUGGCAAACGGGUGAGUAUAAUGUGGGAAUCUGCCUUUUGGUUUGGAAUAACACGGGGAAACUUGUGCUAAUACCGAAUAAGCCCUUACGGGGAAAGUUUUAAUGCCGAAAGAUGAGCCCGCACUUGAUUAGCUAGUUGGUAAGGUAAUAGCUUACCAAGGCAACGAUCAAUAGCUGUUCUUAGAGGAAGACCAGCCACAUUGGGACUGAGACACGGCCCAGACUCCUACGGGAGGCAGCAGUGGGGAAUCUUGCACAAUGGGGGAAACCCUGAUGCAGCGAUGCCGCGUGAGUGAAGAAGGCCCUUGGGUUGUAAAACUCUUUCGUCGGGGAAGAAAAUGACUGUACCCGAAUAAGAAGGUCCGGC